CAGCCCCCUGAGUGGUAAGGACGAUUAUUUGGCCUAAAGCGUCCGUAGCCGGCUUAUCAAGUCUUUUGUUAAAUCCAACGAUUCAAUCGUUGGGCCGCAAAAGAUACUGUUAUGCUAGAGGACGGGAGAGGUCGACGGUAGUCCAGGGGUAGGGGUGAAAUCCUAUAAUCCUUGGAGGACCACCAGUGGCGAAGGCGGUCGACUAGAACGUGCCUGACGGUGAGGGACGAAAGCUGGGGGAGCGAACCGGAUUAGAUACCCGAGUAGUCC
rnacentral:rRNA from 1 species